rnacentral:rRNA from 1 species
UACGGGGGGAGCAAGCGUUGUUCGGAUUUACUGGGCGUAAAGGGCGCGUAGGCGGCCACCGCAAGUCGACUGUGAAAUCUCCGGGCUUAACCCGGAAGGGUCAGCCGAUACUGCGGGGCUAGAGUGCAGAAGGGGCAACUGGAAUUCUCGGUGUAGCGGUGAAAUGCGUAGAUAUCGAGAGGAACACCUGCGGCGAAGGCGGGUUGCUGGGCUGACACUGACGCUGAAGCGCGAAAGCUAGGGGAGCGAACGGG